AAAGUGGCGAUGGCCUGAAUUUCUGGUGGAGAUACUGGUUUCUGAGAGUCCCUACCAUAAAACUGGACUUGUGUCCCUGUGGAAAAUUCCACACUGCAGAAAGCAUGGCCUAAUGAGCAGGAGACAAGCAUCAGGAGACCUGGCUCUCAUUCGGCAGCCCUGGGACUGUGGUGUGCAGGCGGCCUUGCCAGGGGCCCUGCUGCACCAUCCAGUUCUCUGCGGUGGGCACUCUUCUAUCCCCGCUUCACUCCGAGGCAGAGGAGGCCCGGGUCCCGGUGGCUCUGUCCCUAUUGCCUGUCUGGAAGAACAGUACCAUGAUUUGGACCCACUGCUGCUGGCUCCCAGGUUCUGCAGAGCACAUGCUCCCAACCACGCCCCACCUGCCCGCUCGCACCCCUCUCUCUGGGAACUCCACCUCCUUCCCACAGAUGCUCCGGCCUGUCCCUGCAUGGAGGGGAGAGGGAGAGGGGUUCCUUCCCACCCUACUGACGGGCUAUAUGCCUCCCCCCUUCGCGGCCCAGCCAGACUCCAGGCUGCGGGAGGAGGCCCUCUGGAGACCGUCAGGAGCUCUGCCGGGAAUUUCAAACUACACAGGAGCUGGUGAUGUUGGCGCUUCUGGUAACAACAGGUGGCG